rnacentral:tRNA from 1 species
GGGGUCAUAGCUCAAUUGGCUAGAGCGUCUGCCUUGCAAGCAGGAGGUUAGGAGUUCGAUUCUCCUUGAUUCCAC